AGUCUGUAGGAAGUGGGAGGAGUCAAAAGAGAAGUUGUUGAGUGUGAGGACGAGUUCAGCUAGGCAGAUGAGAGUGUCUCUCUCACGUCUACUUGUGAUGCCAUUUACAAGGAACUGUGUGCCUAGUUACCUCUUCGACAACACUCUCCAGGGCUCUGUACUGCACUGGUUUGUCUUAGCAAACUGCAACACUUCACAUUUAUCUGAAUUUAAACUCCAUCUGCCAUUCCUGGCUCAUUGGCCAGUUAAUCAAGAUCACAUUGUACGCUUAGAUAACAUUCUUCACUGUCGACUAUACCACCAACGUUGGUGUCUUCGCAAAUUUAUUAACCAAUACUUCCUAUAUUCUGAAGAACGGUCUAGGCCCGAAACAUCAGCUUUCCUUCUCUGAUGCUGCUUGGCCUGCUGUGUUCAUCCAGCUUCACACCAUGUUAUCUCAUUCUCCAGCAUCGGCAGUUCCUACUACACCUCCAGUAUUUUCAUCUGAAUUGUUUAUAUUAAUGAUGAACAACAGUGGACAUAGCACAAUCUUACAGCACACUGCUGGUCAUGGGUCUCCUGUGUGACAAACAACUGUCUGUCACUACCCUCUGUCUCCUGCCAUCAAGCCAUUUUGUAUGCAGUUGGCUAGUAAAGUCACAAAAAUAAAUUAAGAUGGGCUUAAUAUGGUCACUGGUCGAAUGGUACUUUCCCUAACUAGUUUCACUGUGGUUAGAUGCAACUUAAGCAGGUUUGUAUCCAUUGGAGGCAAUUUUGAGGAUGGGAUGCUGUGGGUAAGGCCAUAUAAAUGGCAACAGUAGGGUCUUUAAUAGUAUGUUAAAGCCUAACAAAUGAAUACAAGACUGUAAAAACCAUGGAAAAGGCUGUACUGCAUUGAGAGCUUUUGUACUAUAAUUUUCAUGCUGAGCCAGGCAAAGUUGCUAUCUAAAUCAAGUGUUGGACUUAAAGGCAGCUGUCUCUAACCCAGAUGGUCAAAAGAAAAGGAGAUUUAAAAUCAGUCAUGUAGUUAAUGGAGAGGAUGGUUGCCAUUUAAAUGCCUCAGCGUCAGAGAAGGUGUUGCAUUAAACUGACUAAAAAUGCUGUGCUUGAAAUAAGAGAACAGAGAAAACAUUCAUGCGUGCCAGCUGGGAGGUUAAAUUUUGGUUUCAGCACUAAGCAGUCAGAAGUUGUGGUAGCUGUACUAAUGAGAGUCAUGAACUCCAGUAUGGAAAUUAUGUAUAAGGAUAUGGCAACCAAGAUUCAACAAGAGGUAAUGCUUCAGCAGAUUAUGUCACAUAUAACUGCUGUGAAAAAGGAUAUGAUUAUAUUGGAGAAGAGUGAGUUUUCAGCAAUACGAGCUGCAAAUGAGAAACUGAAAAUUGAAUUGCAACAACUCAAAAAACAGUUAGUCGAUGAAGUUGUCAAGAUAUCAUCAAACAACAAAUUAGACAUGAAUUUGGAAAAAAGUAGAGUUCAAGAAAUGUUAACGGGGCAUGAAAGGAGAGUACUGGAAACCAGAGCAGAUAUAGUAGAGCUGUAUUCACAGCAAAACCGAGCAGUGACUCAAAUAAACCGAAAGAUAGACACUGAAGUAGCAGGACUGAAAACUCUGUUAGAAUCUCAUAAACUUGACACGAUUAAAUAUUUAGCAGGUUCAGUUUUCACGUGUCUUACCAUAGUACUAGGAUUUUAUCGUCUCUGGGUAUGAAAUUUAAUCCCUCACUGUAAUUUAGUAUUCAACUUCAAGUUAUCAGGAAAAGGAGCCGUAGUGUUUUAAAAGAAAUGAGAGACACAAUCAUUUGAAAAGGUUAAUUUUUACUUCCGCAUGUUAAAGAACUCUGUUUCUGCUGUCAACUUCUCAUGGCAAGUACUAGCUGAAGAAUUCUAGAAAUUUUGAUUACUACUUUGUCAAAACUUGAGCACAUACCCUGUCGUUUAUUCUGGUUUACAGAUACUUGUAUUGAAAUUAGAAACCUGACUGAAGCUUUCCUGGAAAUUGCUAUCUCCAGCAUAGGAAUACAUGUUUUAAUUAAACUGCUAAAUUAAACCAGUACAUGAAUCACAAGUGCUAUUUGUUUAACACUGACCAUUGAAAAAUUAAGUUUAGCCCUCAGAUGUGGUCACAUAUGCUUAAAGUACCAAUCUGCAAAUUUAUCACAAAUUUGUAAAGUGUUCUUCUGGCACAUCCCAUGUGGUAUAAUGGUACUUUUUGUGCUCGUGUAAACUGGAACCUCGCUCAAUGUAAAAAUUUGAUUUUCUUGAAACAUUAUUAGCAAUUCCAACUUGCCUCUGAUUCAAAUUUCCUAAUUUUAUCACUAAUUUCCCAUUCCCAUGCCCAAAACUGAAUAUUAUAGUUUCAAGAAUGAAUAUUAUAACAGGUAAAGAUUGAAAGACUUGCAUUUUUAUUGUGCAUUUCAAGUUGGAAAGUAGAUGCAGCAUGCAUUUGCAAUUGCAUUGGUUAGUUUAUACCAUCUGCUGAAUCCUAAUGUUUUGACUGAAUCAAUUUCGUUGAAUUUCAUAGGUUUCCCCUGUCCACUGUCGUUCCAAAUCUGUCUCAUUAACUACGUAUGGCUCCACUUACAUCCAGAAGAAUUGCUACUGCUGGAAUAUUGGAGAAUGGACUGGCGUUCCUGGUGCCAGUGCCGUUGCUAGUGCCAUUUUUAAGAACCUUUUAUGGACCUGGGAAAGCACAGCCAGUCUGGAGCUGCCUUUCAUGUUUCAUGACAUUUACCUUAGAUGUAAUAAUAAGGGUAUAUUGGUGCACUGCUUUGUAGACAUGGAUCUAAAGGUGUAGUAGGACCAUCAGAGAAGGCCAAGACGCCAUACCGUGCUCACUUGUUCCACUGUUGUUACUCAGUUCAGUGCAGUCUCUCCCAUCUGGAGGAAAACCAAGCUGUGUAGGAACUCUGCCAGAGUAGGUGCAACCAUUUCACCUCUGCUCCCUCACACUCUCGCUAUCCCUGUUACUGCAUGCACUUUCAACCAUAACUCAUGGACCCACCACUCUCGCUAUUGCAUGCAACAUAUUCAGGUGUAACUUUAAAAUGUAGGAGCAUGCUGUAAGUGGAUCAGAGAUGUGCACUGGCAAUGCAGAGAGUCUGGCAAGUGUCAAAUAUCAAAGUGCGUGCAGUUGCUGGCCUAGGAUGCUGGUACUGCGUGUCCAAGAUGGAAGUCCUUAAAGCAUGGAGUGAGAUGAAGUUGCCAGGUGCUUGCUCAGACUUCCAUUUCAAGAAUUUCUGGUAUUUAAUUUCCUCAUGGCAAAUGGUAAGAUUGGAGGAUGAUUAUUAUUAUUGAGGUAAGAAGUGCAGUUAUUUAGACUGACCGCAAGCAAUAAUCCUCCUUAAUAGGUAUCUCGUCACUGCCUUGAGAGAAUUUUGUCUCAACAGCUAUUUGCUGCUGACUUUGAGAGAGGCCUCACCUGACUUGCAGGAUUCUCCCAGAUUUCUCACCAUAACUGACAUUAUUUAGGCUCCUAUAGGAUUCAUCCCAAGUUUCUGCUAACAUGAUUGCAUGAUCAAUUUAAAAUGCUUGUUGUGUAGCAUGAUAAAGUGCAAUAGUUUUGGUUCCACUAAUGUUUGAUUCUUCAUGGAUAUUUAAAUUUUGUUGGUGGGAAGUGGGCAUCACUGGCUGAGCUGACCAGCACCAGUUGCAAGGCAAGGUAAGAACAGCAAAUUUCCUUCCCAAAGGGUGAAUAAUGAACCAGGUGGGUUUUUGCAAUAAUUAGUUAGUUUUAAGUUUCACAAUUACUACUUAAUUGCAAAUUUCAUGAAAUGCAUCAGAAAAACAAAUUUAAUUAAGGUGGAAUUAACUCCUACCAAUGAGGAAAACACUUUUAAAAUCAAUAAACAACACUUUUAUAUACAGGAACAAAAACAGAGUUAACGUUUUCAGUCUGGUGACCCUUCCUCAGAACAGAGUUAACAAAUGUUAACUGUUUUUGUCUUCACAGAUGCUGCCGGACUUGCUGAGCUUUUCCAACAACUUUCAUUUUGUUCCUGAUUUACAGGAUCCGCAGUUUUUUUGGCUUUUGUUUAAUACUUAUAGAAAGUUAUACUCAACAAUUCAAUACUUUAAUUUGUGUUAUUGAUAUAUAAAUAACUGCCUUUGGGAGGUAAUAGUCAGUUCUGCAGUCUAUAACCAUGUUCCAUAGAUUCAGUUAUAUCUCAGGGUGGCACUGCUGUUUCACAGCACCAAGGACCUGGGUUAAAUUCCACCCUCAGGCGACUGACAAUAUUUGCACAUUCUCCUUGUAUCUGUGUGGGUUUCCAAUGGGUGCUCCAGUUUCCUCCCACAGUCCAAACAUGUGCAGAUUACGUGGACUGGCCAUGCUAAAUUGUCCAUAGAGUUCAGGGAUGUGCAGGCUAGGCGGGUUAGCCAGAGGGAAAGAGGGCUGACAGGUCUGGGGUGAUGGGCUUGGGUGGGUGCUGUUCAGAGGGCUCGUGUGGACUGAAUGGCCUGCUUCCUUACUAUAAGGAUUCUGUGAUUUUUUUGGGAGGUAAAGAUGUAUUGGACCUAUCAUUGGUCUAAUUGACCAAUCUUAAUUAAUUAAAUAAUAUAGAAGUACAUAAACUGAAAUGCAUGGAUAUGGUAGAUAGUUGAAGUCUCUUUCCCAGGGUUUAAUUGCCAAAUACUAAGGGCCAUACGUUUAAAGUGAGAGUGGGAAAGUUUAAAGGAGAUGUGCAAGGCAAGUUUUUUUUAUUAUGCUGAGGGUUGUAGGUGUGUGGAUCGCACUGCCAAGGGAGAUAGUAUAAGCAGAUACGAUGGCAACAUUUAAGAGGCAUUUGGACCGACAUAUGAACAGGCAAGGAAUGGAAGCAUACAGACCAUAUGCAGGCAGAUAGAUGUGUUUAGUUUAGAAUGGCAUUGCGGUUGACAUAUAAAUGGUGGGCCAAAAGGCCUGAUCCUGUACUGUAUUAUUGUAUUUUCUUAAAUUAAUCUAAUAUGUUGUCUUACUAUAAUGCAAUAAACUACUUGUCAAGUAUGUGACUUGUCUGCUGAAGACUUAAGUGAUGAAGGAUUAAACACUAAUGCUGUUAUCUUUUGUAGAUUCAUUACAAAAAGGUGCAGGUAGCACCAAACCUACUCAAAGAAAAUCUUAUCACUACAAGGUGCAAGCUGCAGACAUAUCUUGCAACUAAUAGUGGUGAGGAUUUCUGCCUUCUAGAAUGGAGAAAUCAUUAAAAGGACAAAUAUCUACAGCCGUCUAAGAGAAGAAAGAAGAAAAGAAUGUGCAGAAAAAAAAGUUGCCAUUUUGAUUAUAUUAGCUUUAAGUUAGAAACAGCAAGCUUGCAACAGUGUCAAAGAUGACAGCCAGUCAAUUCAUGCUGGAGAAAUUUGGGUAGUGCAACAGGCUAAAUACACAGCCUUACCAACAGCGUCUUAAACUUCAAACAGACAGAACCAGGAAAGAAAUACACAAAAGGUGUUAGGACUAAAGACAACCUCACAGCAGUUAUUAAGGAACAGGCCUAAUUCUUCAUCCAACAAAGAAGUAAUUGAUAUCAGGUUUCUGAUGCAUGUUGAAUCUCUAGGAUAAAGGUUGAGAAAACUUGCAACUUUUAUGAUGCUAUUCUUGACUGAUAAUCUGAGUAAAGGCAGAAUUCAGACGUGUGUUAAAAAUUAACAUCAUUUAGGCGUGUUCAACUUAAUUACCUAUCGAUGAACAAACUGCAGAAUGGGCAAUUAUUUAAAAUUUCUUCAACCUGGCAAUGUAGUUAGAAAGCUGGCAACGUUGUUAGUGAGGUUGAGACUAGAAGUCAAAAGCAAAUGAUUUAACUUAAAUAACAAAG